CUGCCCCACAUGCGGGCUUUCGUAAUUUCUCAUACAUUAGUGGCUCGACAACUAAAGGAACAAUGGACUGUAGCCCUGGGUUCCUUCGCAUUGGUACCCUGCCGAUGAUGUGCAGGGGUGGAGACAAGUGGAGUGCUGAAUGCAAAGCCGGUUGCUUCCUGCCCGUAAUUGCCAAUGGUUCUGUCGCGGGGGAGAAUGAAUUAAAUGGAAAGUUUCUCCAGUACCGAGUCAAGUGUUCUGAAGGCUUUCACCUGUCAACAGACACCUAUAUUAUGGCAUGUAAUGAAACUACAUGGAACUUCACAAACCCGCCAACAUGUGAUAGUAUUCUUCGGACAGCCGACUACUCCGAACCUGUUCGUUGCAAAAAUCUCACGCUUCACUAUGCGAAGUAUGGCGAACUCGAAAAUUCCUCUGAAGCACUUGCAAUGUGCCAAUCAAUGGGAAUGGACUUGCCCACAAUG